rnacentral:rRNA from 1 species
UACAGAGGCCUCAAGCGUUAGGCGGAAUCACUGGGCUUAAAGCGUGUGUAGGUGGAUGCCUAAGUACCUUGUGAAAUCCCACAGCUUAACUGUGGAACUGCUUGGUAUACUGGGUGUCUUGAGUCACUCAGGGGCGAGCGGAACAAAUGGUGGAGCGGUGAAAUGCGUAGAUAUCAUUUGGAACGCCAAUGGUGAAAACAGCUCGCUGGGGGUGCACUGACACUGAGACACGAAAGCCAGGGGAGCAAACGGG